GGUCAUUAGUUCUUACGCUGUUUUCAAGACAUGAACAGAAAAAACGAAUGAGAAUUUCAGUUUUUAAGAGUAAUAAUAGUAAGAACUUUAGAGAUAAUAUAAAUUUACUUUGCUUAUACCUGAAAGUAUACUGACGGAAUUCUUCGUGUUUAUUCAUUAUAGAACGUCUUAUGAAGCGAAAGAGGCAGAAUCUCCUGUAAUUGAUAUUAGAACAGCGCAUUCUGCAAGGAAUACUUUAGAGGCCUUUUAAUUGAACAACGGCUUAAUACCACUCCUCAUCUGUGCAGUGAAUACCAUUUCGGCUCCAUCCGCAAAUUCUAAAUACGAGAGAUGUCUGGAUUGACAGAAAAAAGGAUACUGAAGUAAUAUCGGUCAGACAACUUACGACCAUUGUGGAUGCAUUUUUUCUUGGAUAAAGGUGUGCUAUCAAUAAUACAGCUUUCUCGGUUCCAUAUACAAGACAUCAAUAUUCGCCAAUUUCCUUAAGAUGUCUGCAUGUUUUAACCCAAGUGACCACGGCACAAGAUACCAUUUAGAGCCUUCAUCCUUGCAAUUCGGAACCUUUUCAAUGGAGUUAUGAAUGGAGGUCCAAUUUAUGCAAAUGAGUUUGUAAAAUUCAUUGUCUUCGCCUAAAUUUAUACGAGUACCAAAAUAUAAUGAAUACAUUUAGUCUGCACAGUGGAAAUGGGAUUAUGUAUGUAGACAACAUUACUUGAGGAUAUCGAUACAUCUUUGAAAUGU